rnacentral:rRNA from 1 species
ACGGUCAUACCAAAUUAAAAACACCGGUUAUCGUCCAAUCACCGAAGUUAAGCAAUGUCGGGCCCGGUCAGUACUUGGGAGGGUGACCACCUGGGAACACUGGGUGCUGUAGGAU